UACGAAGGGGGCUAGCGUUGUUCGGAAUUACUGGGCGUAAAGCGCACGCAGGCGGUUCGAUUAGUCAGAAGUGAAAGCCCCGGGCUCAACCUGGGAACUGCUUUUGAUACUGUCGAGCUAGAAUCACGGAGAGGGUAGUGGAAUUCCGAGUGUAGAGGUGAAAUUCGUAGAUAUUCGGAAGAACACCAGUGGCGAAGGCGACUACCUGGCCGUCGAUUGACGCUCAUGUGCGAAAGCGUGGGGAGCAAACAGG
rnacentral:rRNA from 1 species